rnacentral:rRNA from 1 species
GAUGAACGCUGGCGGCGUGCCUAAUACAUGCAAGUCGAGCGAACAGACGAGGAGCUUGCUCCUCUGACGUUAGCGGCGGACGGGUGAGUAACACGUGGAUAACCUACCUAUAAGACUGGGAUAACUUCGGGAAACCGGAGCUAAUACCGGAUAAUAUAUUGAACCGCAUGGUUCAAUAGUGAAAGACGGUUUUGCUGUCACUUAUAGAUGGAUCCGCGCCGCAUUAGCUAGUUGGUAAGGUAACGGCUUACCAAGGCAACGAUGCGUAGCCGACCUGAGAGGGUGAUCGGCCACACUGGAACUGAGACACGGUCCAGACUCCUACGGGAGGCAGCAGUAGGGAAUCUUCCGCAAUGGGCGAAAGCCUGACGGAGCAACGCCGCGUGGGUGAUGAAGGUCUUCGGAUCGUAAAACUCUGUUAUUAGGGAAGAACAAAUGUGUAAGCAACUAUGCACGUCUUGACGGUACCUAAUCAGAAAGCCACGGCUAACUACGUG